rnacentral:lncRNA from 1 species
UAUCACAGCAAUGGUGUCAUGUUCUCUGUGCAUCGCAUCAGGAGGGACAUGCUGAUGGUUUAUCCCAUUACACCAAAGUGAAUGUUGAUCGUUCAGUGAAGGUGGGUGCGGGUUCAUUGCAUUAUAUUGCAGAAGCCAUCAUCAGCCAUACUCGCUCUGAUUAACCAAUCAUCUUAUGUAGCCAUUUAUCUAACAAGGCUGUAAGGGUCUUGAACUCAGGGUAAGCAAGCCUUAAAGCAGAAGAGAAGAAAGAAAGGC